GUGAACGCUGGCGGUAGGCCUAACACAUGCAAGUCGAACGGCAGCACAGUAAGCGCUUGCUCUUACGGGUGGCGAGUGGCGGACGGGUGAGGAAUACAUCGGAAUCUACUUUUUCGUGGGGGAUAACGUAGGGAAACUUACGCUAAUACCGCAUACGACCUACGGGUGAAAGCAGGGGAUCUUCGGACCUUUCGCGAUUGAAUGAGCCGAUGUCGGAUUAGCUAGUUGGCGGGGUAAAGGCCCACCAAGGCGACGAUCCGUAGCUGGUCUGAGAGGAUGAUCAGCCACACUGGAACUGAGACACGGUCCAGACUCCUACGGGAGGCAGCAGUGGGGAAUAUUGGACAAUGGGCGCAAGCCUGAUCCAGCCAUACCGCGUGGGUGAAGAAGGCCUUCGGGUUGUAAAGCCCUUUUGUUGGGAAAGAAAAGCAGCAGGUUAAUAACCCGCUGUUCUGACGGUACACAAAGAAUAAGCACCGGCUAACUUCGUG
rnacentral:rRNA from 1 species